rnacentral:rRNA from 1 species
UGGUGGGUAGUUUGACUGGGGCGGUCUCCUCCCAAAGUGUAACGGAGGAGCACGAAGGUCAGCUAAUCCUGGUCGGACAUCAGGAGGUUAGUGCAAUGGCAUAAGCUGGCUUGACUGCGAGAGUGACGGCUCGAGCAGGUGCGAAAGCAGGUCAUAGUGAUCCGGUGGUUCUGUAUGGAAGGGCCAUCGCUCAACGGAUAAAAGGUACUCCGGGGAUAACAGGCUGAUACCGCCCAAGAGUUCAUAUCGACGGCGGUGUUUGGCACCUCGAUGUCGGCUCAUCACAUCCUGGGGCUGAAGUAGGUCCCAAGGGUAUGGCUGUUCGCCAUUUAAAGUGGUACGCGAGCUGGGUUUAGAACGUCGUGAGACAGUUCGGUCCCUAUCUGCCGUGGGCGCUGGAGAAUUGAGGGGGGCUGCUCCCAGUACGAGAGGACCGGAGUGGACGCAUCACUGGUGUUCGGGUUGUCAUGCCAAUGGCACUGCCCGGUAGCUAAAUGCGGAAGAGAUAAGUGCUGAAAGCAUCUAAGCACGAAACUUGCCCCG